rnacentral:lncRNA from 1 species
CCCACUCUCUCUUGGUCUCUUUUCCCGGCGAGCGCCGCCGUCAUCAACGGCCGACCUCUCCGGUGAACGAUCCACGCCGUCAGCGGCACUCGGUGAGCCCAUCUUCUCCUCCUAGACCACUGGCGCUCGCUUCCUGCUUUAGGCCCCAACACACCUCGUCCAUAAAGUAUUGUUUUCACUCGUUUGAAAUAGCAUGCAUGUCCAAAAGUUUCUUGUUAAUUUGUUGACUAUACACUCAUGUAUAGGCAGCUUUACGGGAGGAGAAGAAGAAUGCAUGUAGCCAUGUAAUCCCUCCAUUUUAAAUUGUAGGUCGUUUUAGUUUUUCUAAAUUCGUAGAUAUUAUUAGAAAUCUAGACAUAAAUAUUUAGGUGUAUAGACUAUGCAUCUAGAAAAAACUAAAACGACAUAUAAUUUAGAACGGAGGGAGUAGGUGUUUGGCAACCGCUUGCUAGAUGUGUCUCAAGUCAAGGGGUGUCCAUUAGACCAUUUAGGCAUGUAUGUGUGUUAAGUGGUGCAUGCACAGUCUAGCUUAAUUUAAUUAAUUGCAACAACUAUAUAUAGAUUCAGGCAUUCAGUCCUCCAUGCUAAUCCAAUGCGAUUUCCGAUUGUUCCUGCCUCUCGCUGUGCUUACUAAGUAAGGUGUUCCUGCUUGAUAUCUCAGUUGCAGAAUGCACAAGUCCACCAAACCGUGCAAGCAUGGUAAGCACAAGAAAAAGAUGAGAAAAUUGGAGAAAGAGGCAUCAGAAGCUGUUACAGCAAGUCGGUAAACCUCAAGCCCGGCGGGUUUCGAUCUCUUCCCUCCAGAAAAGGCUUCCAAACUAAUUAUACUAUUUAUUUUUAUAGGUCCCCGAUCUGCUCGCCGUGACGUUUUCUGCACGUUCCAUCACGAAGC